CGCAGAGCGAACCUUGCCGUCAAAAAAAGAAAAAAAAAACCUUGUCCGCUCUUCCUCCCAACGCUGUUCUCCUCUCCCGGCGGCGGCGGCGGCGGCCCCUACGUGGAACUGAAGCGCGCGAAGGCGGGGCGCCGAUGGGUCGCCGGUCGGGCACGCGGGUGCGCGACCAGAUUCCGGUCCCUCCCUCGACGUCAAGCGAUGGGUGUGUACUUCAGUUCACUUCGACUGAAGCUACGGAUUCAAGAAAUCAUCUGGUCUUGAUAGUGCCCUGGACAAGUCCAGAGUCCAUUUGAUUGUGGCAAGCGUCAUCUCGUGGCUGGCUUGGCUUCGUGGGGAACAGACAGAGUUGCCGGAUAAGCUGAAAGGCUCGACAACAAGUCCAGAGCUUAUUAGUACAACUGAAGUCCAAUCAGGUAAGGAAGCAUAUAUGCAUGAUGCUUGUAUGAAAAUCCGA